rnacentral:lncRNA from 10 species
CGGAGCGGCCGGGGAAAGGCCGGGUCCCGCUCGGACCAUUUUAACUGCGGAUCCGCCGCCGGCGCGCGCACCCGCGACUCUGCUCGGAGCCGCAGGAGCGCGCGGCCCGUUCCGGCAGGGGGCGGAGCCAGUUGCGGUGGCGCGCUCGUGGCGGGGACGCCGGCACCCGGCUGCUCACCCGGGACGGCCGUCACACCGGCACUACGGGAAGAAGCCGGCCGGCUAGGGCACGGAGCUCUGGGCUUGCGGGGUGCGGCGCACGCCCCUCCCUCCCACCGCCUAAGGUUUUUCCGAAGCUGCUGGGCGUGCGCCGCGUUUCUGAGGCGGGAGGAGACACUUCCGAGCCAGCUGUGUGACAUCCGUUUACACAGCCGCGCUGACGUCUCGAGGUACAUCACGACAUUGCCCCAGAGAGGAACCCAGGAUUCUCACACCAUGACACCAUCCCCAUCUGUUUCUCCAGCCACAUUUGGACAUGGAUCUGGCAGCCUAAGACCAGUUUGUAUGCUGCGAAAUCAAUGAGAAGAGAAUUGUGUUGGCAAGAAAUGUGCCUGGUGAAUGAAUGAAAGAAAGAAAGAAAAAAAGAAAGAAAGAAGGAAAGAAAGAAAGAAAGAAAGAAAGAAAGAAAGAAAGAAAGAAAGAAAGA